rnacentral:rRNA from 1 species
ACAUGCAGUCGGACGGGAUCCAUCGGAGAGCUUGCUCGAAGAUGGUGAGAGUGGCGCACGGGUGCGUAACGCGUGAGCAACCUACCUCUAUCAGGGGGAUAGCCUCUCGAAAGAGAGAUUAACACCGCAUAACAUCAACAGUUCGCAUGUUCAGUUGAUUAAAUAUUUAUAGGAUAGAGAUGGGCUCGCGUGACAUUAGCUAGUUGGUAGGGUAACGGCUUACCAAGGCGACGAUGUCUAGGGGCUCUGAGAGGAGAAUCCCCCACACUGGUACUGAGACACGGACCAGACUCCUACGGGAGGCAGCAGUAAGGAAUAUUGGUCAAUGGGCGGAAGCCUGAACCAGCCAUGCCGCGUGCAGGAUGACUGCCCUAUGGGUUGUAAACUGCUUUUGUCCAGGAAUAAACCUAGAUACGUGUAUCUAGCUGAAUGUACUGGAAGAAUAAGGAUCGGCUAACUCCGUGCCAGCAGCCGCGGUAAUACGGAGGAUCCGAGCGUUAUCCGGAUUUAUUGGGUUUAAAGGGUGCGUAGGCGGCCUAUUAAGUCAGGGGUGAAAUACGGUGGCUCAACCAUCGCAGUGCCUUUGAUACUGAUGGGCUUGAAUCCAUUUGAAGUGGGCGGAAUAAGACAAGUAGCGGUGAAAUGCAUAGAUAUGUCUUAGAACUCCGAUUGCGAAGGCAGCUCACUAAGCUGGUAUUGACGCUGAUGCACGAAAGCGUGGGGAUCGAACAGGAUUAGAUACCCUGGUAGUCCACGCCCUAAACGAUGAUAACUCGAUGUUGGCGAUAGACAGCCAGCGUCCAAGCGAAAGCGUUAAGUUAUCCACCUGGGGAGUACGCCCGCAAGGGUGAAACUCAAAGGAAUUGACGGGGGCCCGCACAAGCGGAGGAGCAUGUGGUUUAAUUCGAUGAUACGCGAGGAAC